AUUGAACGCUGGCGGCAGGCCUAACACAUGCAAGUCGAACGGUAACAGGAAGCAGCUUGCUGCUUUGCUGACGAGUGGCGGACGGGUGAGUAAUGUCUGGGAAACUGCCUGAUGGAGGGGGAUAACUACUGGAAACGGUAGCUAAUACCGCAUAACGUCGCAAGACCAAAGAGGGGGACCUUCGGGCCUCUUGCCAUCGGAUGUUCCCAGAUGGGAUUCGCUAGUAGGUGGGGUAACGGCUCACCUAGGCGACGAUCCCUAGCUGGUCUGAGAGGAUGACCAGCCACACUGGAACUGAGACACGGUCCAGACUCCUACGGGAGGCAGCAGUGGGGAAUAUUGCACAAAGGGCGCAAGCCUGAUGCAGCCAUGCCGCGUGUAUGAAGAAGGCCUUCGGGUUGUAAAGUACUUUCAGCGGGGAGGAAGGGAGUAAAGUUAAUACCUUUGCUCAUUGACGUUACCCGCAGAAGAAGCACCGGCUAACUCCGUG
rnacentral:rRNA from 1 species